GAUGAACGCUGGCGGCGUGCCUAAUACAUGCAAGUCGAGCGAACGGACGAGAAGCUUGCUUUUCUGAUGUUAGCGGCGGACGGGUGAGUAACACGUGGAUAACCUACCUAUAAGACUGGGAUAACUUCGGGAAACCGGAGCUAAUACCGGAUAAUAUUUUGAACCGCAUGGUUCAAAAGUGAAAGACGGUCUUGCUGUCACUUAUAGAUGGAUCCGGGCUGCAUUAGCUAGUUGGUAAGGUAACGGCUUACCAAGGCAACGAUGCAUAGCCGACCUGAGAGGGUGAUCGGCCACACUGGAACUGGGACACGGUCCAGACUCCUACGGGAGGCAGCAGUAGGGAAUCUUCCGCAAUGGGCGAAAGCCUGACGGAGCAACGCCGAGUGAGUGAUGAAGGUCUUCGGAUCGUAAAACUCUGUUAUUAGGGAAGAACAUAUGUGUAAGUAACUGUGCACAUCUUGACGGUACCUAAUCAGAAAGCCACGGCUAACUACGUG
rnacentral:rRNA from 1 species